UUUCCGGCGAUUUAAGUCACCAAUUGUUGCCCCGUUUGUUGCUACUUAAGCUCCACACCCUCCUCUUCAUUUCCCCUCAAACGGCACACCAAGAGAGCCACCAGGCUGCUCGAAUUUGACCUCGCAAGUCUACGGUGCCGGCGACUUUUCGGGACGAUUCCGAGACAGAGCCAUAAUCAUCUGUGAAUACGUUCGCGGGAAAGUUCUCCGGUGGCGAUUUCCGGCGAACUACUGCACCUCAUCGUCCACGACUUCCCCAUCGAGAUUCCCUUGCCAAGCCGAUCUCCUUCGUCCGCUUCGCCAUCAUCGGAAUCAUUGGAACAUCAACCUUCGACGAUAUAUCACAGCAAACUGAGUUGCUAUUGUGGUUGUGCUGAUUGCAACGAGUGUUUCUGCGAAGAGUGUACCAA